ensembl:snRNA U6 U6 spliceosomal RNA
GUGCUUGUUUCAGCAGCACAUAGACUAAAACUGGAAUGAUACAAAGAAGAUUAGCAUGGCCCCAAUGCAAGGAUGAGAAAUUCAUGAAGCAUUCUAUAAUUUU